AAUAUAUUGGCAGAUAAAUGCAUUAGAAUUAGAAUCUAAUUAAUCAAUUCAUUU
rnacentral:tRNA from 1 species